AUUGGAAUUGAUGUUGUUAUUUCUCAGUACUUUCAGAUAGAGAGCUUAUAGUCUUAGGGUUAAAUCUUAUAAAAACAUUAUUUCCUCUCUAGAGGCCAUGUUUGUUUCUCAAUCUUUAUGAACAUGUAUGAGAAUGUUUAUCUCGGCAAUAUAUAGGCUAAAUUCAGAUCCUGGUCAUGUGCUUCAAAUACUAGAUCGCCAGGUCAAACCUGGUCACUGCUCUAGAAGCGACAUUUGUGUCUCAAUUUUGGGUUACAAUGUUCUUUACAAUAUCUUGGCCAAGAUCUGGGUCAGAUAACUCAAAAACAAUUUUCACAAACUAAACCAAGUGAACAAUCUUUUUGCAUCUCUAGAACCUGCGAUUAAAUCUUGAUGAAACAUGUUCAUAAUUGUUUAUCUUUACAGUAACAAUUGCAGGUGUGAAUCUUGUUAUGUGUUUUGAAAGAAAUUGUGCUUAAUUCUAAGAAAAUGCAUAUUAACACAUUUAUGACUGAAUUGUAAUGAAACGUCUUUGUUAUGUUUAUCUUGACAAUAUCUAAGGCAAGAUUGAAUCUAGGUCAGGUGUGUGCAAAAACUAGGUUAGGUCAGGUGUGUGCAAAAACCAGGUUAGGUCAGGUGUGUGCAAAAACUAGGUCACAAGAUGAAACAAGAGAUGAACCUUUUUGCCACUGACGAAGAAACAUUUAUGACUCAAAGUGUAGUUUUUCUAUGUAACAUCAUGUAGUGGUCAUCUGCUAAGUUUCAUUUAAUCAUGACCCCUGUGUUCCAACUGUCCACACCCAUGGUUUCAAAUAGUUUAUAUACACUCAUAUAUCAAAAAUAAUAAUUUCACCUGAAACCCAGUGUAUACAUAAAACUAAGACUUAUUAAUUUCUGAAUAUAAAUUAAUAAUAUUUAUUUUCGCGGAAACGAAUGUUGUUUGCUGGUUUCUAUAGAUACGAUUACGGAUGUAACGUUAUGUACGGAAUGCUUCGGUAGAGUUCGUUAAAACAAUGAAAUUACGCAUUUCCGUACCACGUGAUAUUACGUCAUUCCGCCUUUUGCAAACUGCCUGUGCUUUUGUUCGGAUCGUCAACAAACUUAAUUUAAAUUAAAUCUCGAAUCAUCUCAAAUAAUGCCGCGUGGAACAAAGCGGAAAUUACCGGAAAAUGUGGAAGAGGUUGGAGAGGACGAUACCCGUCUCUUACAACCGGAUCCAGGUAGAGGCUUUAUUGAUUUUGAGAAGAUAAUAGAUCUAAGGGCAUCUAAAAUCGUUCCUCCUAUUAAUACACGUAACGUUGAGGGGUGCGGUGUUAGCGGGGAAUCAACUCUUAAGUUUCCCGGUAAUCGAAAAUACAAUAAAAGUUCAAUCUCUUGCUUCGGCUAUUAAUCAGGGUCAAAACAUGAUAUAGUCGUCAGGAAUUAACGCGCUUAUCAAACGAUGACUUGGCUGCGCACGUGCCAGCCGCAUUGAAACAACAAAUUUCUAGAGGCGAAUAUGUCAAUUUGGCUGUUAAUAGGUGCCUUCGAAUUAUCCGCUCUUUGUAACGGUAGUGUUUUGUAACUUUCGGCAGAGGGCACUCUUGAACAGCGCCCUAAGGAGUGUAGGGAUAAAAUUCAUAACAUCGAACGGUGGUCGGACGCUUUCUUGAUUUAUGCGUCACUCUACCAUAGCACGCGACGCGAUAAAGUGCAGGAGAUUUUGCAUUAACUUUCCCUGUAAUGACCUACUUAAUCUCGCACCAUCGCCGGUGAAUAGCAAAAUAUUACGUGAAUAUUUAACAUCGUAUAAUUCUACAGAUCGAAAUGACCUUUUAAAUGUUUUUUACAAAUGGGUUUUCAAUGCAUUAUAACGGACCCAGAGUCAGUAGAUUUAGUAAAAAAUUAAAGCCUGCAAUCGCAAAUGCUGACAUAAUUCAAGAUAAGAUAAAUAAGGAGAUUUUGGCGGGGAGGUUGGCUGGGCCUUUCAGCGAACAACCUUUUUCUAAUUUCAUGGUUUCCCCAGUUGGCUUGGUGCCAAAAAAUAUACCAGGUGAAUUUAGGAUGAUUCAUCACCUUUCUUUCCCAGAGGGUAACUCGGUUAAUGACUUCAUUGAUAAAAAAUACUCAUCCGCUCAGUACACAAAUUUCGAUGAGGCGGUUCACAUGGUUCAAGAUUUAGGGCGACACUGUAAAUUUUUCAAAACGGAUCUUAAGAUUGCAUCUCGCCUACUCCCAGUUCGGCGAGAAGAUUUCGAAAUACUGGGCAUACAGUUUAAUGGUAUGUUUUAUGUGGAAAAAGCAUUACCAUUCGGAGCUUCAGUCAGUUGCAAAACAUUGUACAGUUUUCCUCGUUCCUUGAAUUCUGCGUUAAGAGUAAAAUGUCAUCGGGCAAGCUUAUACACUAUUUAGACGAUUUUCUUGGUGGCGAUAAAUCUGAGCUAGGUUGCCGCAAGGUGAUGGAUUCGUUUAUCAAUUGCAUGCACGAGCUAAACGUGCCGUUAGCCACGAAGAAAACAGAAGGGCCCACGGAAAUAAUCGUGUUCUUAGGCUUAGAAUAAGAUUCGGCGGAACUAGUAGUCCGCAUUCUUAAAUAAAAAUCGUAGAGUUACGGGAAAAAAUUCACACCAUCGUGCAGAAACAAAAAAAUAAAAAUAAAAAAUAACCUAAAGCAAGUUCAAUCGUUAAUAAGGUCUCUUAACUUCGUGUGCAGGGCAAUCCCAGUCGGCCGCCCGUUUUGAUUAAUUAACACCACCUGUGACAUAACAAAAGCAUUCCACCGCAUACGUAUAACACGUGCUGUUAGGCAAGACCUCGAAAUGUGGUUGACAUUUUUGCGCGAUUACAACGGCGUGUCGUUUUUCCAUGACCGAUACUGGAUAUUCAAUGUUGACACUGAAUUGUUUACAGAUAGUGCUGGCGGGUCUGGUUUCGGUUUUUGGGAUUUAUUUUAAAGGUCACUGGUGUAACGCUCGUUGGCCUAAUUUAUGGCGGCAAAAGGGCGUAACUAGUGACAUAACUGUUCUCGAAUUAUUUCCAAUUGUAGUUGCACUGUUUCUCUGGGCGAGGAUUUAAAAAAUAAAAAUAUUAUGUUCAACAAUUUUCGAUCUGCAUAUAGUCUAAACAACAAUUGGCCCGCGGAUAAACAACAUGUUGUUCUCUUUGUAGCCUAUUGUUUUGAAAAGGGUCUAUCACCUAAAUCUAUCAAGAGCUACAUUUCUGGAUUGAGUUAUAUUCAUAAAUACAUGGGCUAGUACGAUAUAAGUAACAUUUUUUGGUAGUGAAGUAAAUGCUUGAGGGCUGUUCUCGCUCGCGACAAACGGUUGGUACGCGGGCACUGGCACCAAUCACUCGCAAGGUCUUGACGGUUAUUGUCUCGCAAUUAGCAAAGGUGUGUUAUAAUGACUUCGAGCGCUCACUAUUCAAUGCUAUGUUUACUCUGGCAUAUUUCGGUCCGUUCCGAGUCAGUGAAUUGGUAGCCACAGCAACAUACAGUUAUCAGUUGCAAAUAGCCCACGUUAGGGUCACGGGGGAUAAACACGCCAUAAUGGUCACACUCAGGAAACAUAAAACAAAUCAGCGCGGUAUUCCGGUCACAAUUAGGAUCCCAUACGAGCCGGAGUCUGCGUUGUGUCCAGUUCGGUCGUUUACAGACUACCUCGCAGUGCGACCCCAUAAAGUCGGUCCAUAACCUUAGCAACUAUGAAUCAACACAUUGGCUCGAAUGGACUCUGGGUUUCAGGCGUAGUAUAUCAACCUAAUUUAAAGGUUAGGUUUUAAAAAUAGUAGCAAUGCAGCAGGGAAAAAACUUGUAUAACGCUUAUUGGUAUUAAAUGUCCGAGAUGUAUUAAAUGUCCGAGUUAUGUCCGAGUUAAAAAGUGUGUAAUGGUCAAGCGACCAUUGGUAUUACAUGUCCGUGGUAUUAAAUGUCCGAGUUAAAAAUUGUGUAAUGGUCAAGUGACCAUUGGUAUUUGAUGUCCGAGUUAAAAAGUGCGUAAUGGUCAAGUGACCAUUGGUAAAGUGUGUAAUGGUCAAGUGACCAUUGGUACUAAAUGUCCGAGUUAAAAAGUGUGUAAUGGUCAAGUGACCAUUGGUAUAAAAAGUGGUAUGAUCGCAAGUGUAGCGAUCAAGUAAAAGUGUGACAAGUAAAAGUGUGAUCGCAGAUCAAUCGCUGGGGUCGGCUGCGCGCUGAAAAGUUUACCAAGCACGAAAUAGUGCGCUUAUUGGUAUUAAAUGUCCGAGAUAUAUUAAAUGUCCGAGUUAUGUCCGAGUUAAAAAGUGUGUAAUGGUCAAGUGACCAUUGGUUUUAAAUGUCCGUGGUAUUAAAUGUCCGAGUUAAAAAUUGUGUAGUGGUAAAGUGACCAUUGGUAUUUAAUGUCCGAGUUAAAAAGUGCGUAAUGGUCAAGUGACCAUUGGUAAAGCGUGUAAUUGUCAGGUGACCAUUGGUACUAAAUGUCCGAGUUAACAAGUGUGUAAUAGUCAAGUGACCAUUGGUAUAAAAAGUGGAAUGAUCGCAGGUGUAGCGCUCAAGUAAAGUGUGAUAAGUAAAAGUGUGAUCGCACAUCAAUCGCUGGGGUCGGCUGCGCGCGAAAAAGUUUACCAAGCACGAAAUAGUGUCGGUGCCGAUCGAUUCCGCGACGCCAGGUUUUUUUCGGAGCGAUGGUGUGCAUCUGUCGGAUGUUGGCCUCGAAUUGUAUUUGGAUUGCAUUCGCGACGUCAUCUUAAAGUUCUGUUAAAGGGCUAAUCCAGAAUUUGUGGGGGAUAAAUUUGUGAAAUUUAUUGUGGCGGAAAAUUCUGUUUGCCGGGGGUCGGAUGGGCAUGCGCAUUUAUACAUUUAUCUGAAUGGACUCUGUGACUACUUGCGUAGUUAAUCAUCCUUGUCCUUUCGGGUAAUUCCAAGUUUACAUUUAUCUGAAUGGACUCUGUGACUACUUGCGUAGUUUAUCAUCCUUGUCCUUUCGGGUAAUUCCAAGUUAUUAAAGUUUAAGCUGCUUGAACAGAAUAAAAAAUAGUAGCAAUACCGUAGGGGUAAAAAACGUUUAGGUGUCAAAUCGCUGCCUGAGCGAUAAGUUGUAUUUUAAUGUCCGAUUAAGAUUGUAAAAAGGUACAAGUAAUAUUAUCGCAAGUGUGGCGAUAAAAGUGAUCACAAGUGUAGUGAUCAAGUAAAAGUAUUAUCGCAAGUGCGAAAAAGUGUGAUCACAAGUGUAGUGAUCAAUGUCCGAUUAAGUAUAUUAUCGCAAGUGCGAAAAAGUGUGAUCACAAGUGUAGUGAUCAAUGUCCGAUUAAGUAUGUAAAAGGUACAAGUAAAAGUAUUGGAUCACAAGUGUAGUGAUCAAGUAAGUGUUAACGCAAGUGCGCAAAAAGUGUGAUCACAAGUGUAGUGAUCAAUGUCCGAUUAAGUAUGUAAAAGAUCACAAGUGUAGUGAUCAAGUAAGUGUUAUCGCAAAUGCGCAAAAGUGUGAUCACAAGUGUAGUGAUCAAUGUCCGAUUAAGUAUGUAAUUCGCAAGUGCGAAAAAAGUGCGAUCACAAGUGUAGUGAUCAAGUAAAAGUUUUAGUGUGUCAUUAAAAGUGUCAUGGCGAUUAUCAUGUAAAAGUGGAUACAAUGGUCAAGCGAUUGGUAGAACUAGGUUUAGCCCAGCAAAGUAUAUGGUUCUUCCUAGUUCGGUCGCUUGAUGAGCAAUAGCAUUUUUUAUUUUGGGUACACGGUGUUGCUACUAUAACGGUGUUACUUCACGUUUUGUAAUUUUAUCGUGUGCUCAUCCACCUCCGGUAGGUAUAUUUUCAAAGUAACAGGUUUCCACGAGUGAGUAGCCGAUUUUUCGUUAGGCUCGUGGUUACCACCGGCUGUUUUUUCGCUGCGGCCUUUUAUAUCCCACUUUUUACUCGUAUAAUAUUACAGAGAUCUGUUAGUGAAUACUUUGUGCAUUCUAUUACAUUUUGUGAUGUUUAUUGGGAGGCAAAAUAUUUUGGAAUCGGGUCAUUAAACUAGUUAAAUGGA